UCUUCUCUCCCUCCUACGCACCCUUUCGUCUUCUCUCCCUCCUACGCACGCUUUCGUCUUCUCUCCCUCAUAAACACCCUUUAUGCUCCUCCUCCCUCUUAAAAACCCUUUCCGCUCUUCCAUUUUUUCGAUUCCACAAGAAAAAAAAUGAGGUUCGGAGAAACACGACUUGGAGGUUGCUGUUGACAGAGGAUAUUGUUGAAGUAUUUUUUAGGUUUGGGGCUUUUGUUUUUUCCCAGACUCAACCGAAAUUUUUCUGUUAAUUUUUUGGGAACUUUUGGUUUUAAAUUUUGCAGGUUCGGAGAAACAAGACUUGGAGGUAAAGAUUUAAGGUGGUUUGUAAAAAGGAGUUAAAAAAGAUUCAAUUUUUAGUCUUUUUUUUUUUAAUUUUUAUGCUUCAAAUGCUUCUCAUCUUUUGGUUUACCUUGUCAGUAGCAGCAUUUUCGAUCUAUGUUGCUUUGUGUUAUUUUCAAGAGAAGUUUGUUAUUCUUGAUGGUCGUUUUUGGAAUUUAUUCCAUGAAGAUUUUAAGAGUUGUUGAAGAGAAGAUCGAAGGUUGUUUUUAGAGAACAAGACGAAGUUCUCAACCAAAAAGAUGAAAAAGAGAAGCUGGGUGGGAAGCAAACGCAAAACAAGUUAGGAGUAGGAUUGAAGAAAAAGGAUGAGAAAGAAGCCCAGAUGCAGCAUAAUAGAGGUGGAUAAUGAAGUUGAAGAGUUUCUUGCAGGUGAUCAUUCUCAUCCACAAGCACAGGAGAUGUGCAGAUUACUGGAUUCCAUUCUCAAGAUGGGAAUUUUGGAGCACUUCUGAUGAGUGUGAGCUAUUGUUUACUAUUGUAUUGUUUUCUUACAUGCUUUAGGUUAAUUAUAGUUAUUUGCAAGAACCUUGGACAUGAAAAGAAAAUCAAAUAUAAAUUGUGGUUCCUUUAUUGUUGAAUUUAUGAGGACAGUAGCUCCACCAGGAGAAAAAGAGCAAAAGAAAGAAAGGAAAGGACACACAGGAUAUU